UACGUAGGGGGCAAGCGUUGUCCGGAUUUAUUGGGCGUAAAGAGCGUGUAGGCGGCCAGGUAGGUCGGUUGUGAAAACUCGAGGCUCAACCUCGAGAUGUCGACCGAAACCAUCUGGCUAGAGUCCGGAAGAGGAGAAUGGAAUUCCCGGUGUAGCGGUGAAAUGCGCAGAUAUCGGGAAGAACACCCGUGGCGAAGGCGGCCCCCUGGUUGGAUACUGACGCUGAGACGCGAAAGCGUGGGGAGCAAACAGG
rnacentral:rRNA from 1 species